rnacentral:rRNA from 1 species
UACGGAGGGAGCUAGCGUUAUUCGGAAUUACUGGGCGUAAAGCGCACGUAGGCGGCUUUGUAAGUUAGAGGUGAAAGCCUGGAGCUCAACUCCAGAAUUGCCUUUAAGACUGCAUCGCUAGAAUUGUGGAGAGGUAAGUGGAAUUCCGAGUGUAGAGGUGAAAUUCGUAGAUAUUCGGAAGAACACCAGUGGCGAAGGCGACUUACUGGACACAUAUUGACGCUGAGGUGCGAAAGCGUGGGGAGCAAACAGG